AGAACUUGAUAUAGAUGGGAAAAGGAGUUGAUGGGAAAUCAAAUGAUGUCUACCCUGUAAUUAAAUUCCAAAAGAGCACCACAGACAGCAAACAUUGAGAGUUCAUCACUUUCAUUUUACAGCUGAACAGCAGCAGGAAUAGCAGAGAGAACUACACACAGAAGAUGUUCAGCAAGUCAUUAAGAAAAUUCUGGAAGAUACUCAGGUAUUACAGUGAUGUAAGGUCUACAGACUUCAGUGUCAUACAAGAUGAUUCAACACGUUCAGGAUCUUACUGUGAUAUUCCAAGCCAGAGAGCAUGAUUUAUUAUUUUUUUCCUAGAUAAAACUUUAUUGGAUGAUAAAAUUUCAAACCCAAUUAUUACGGAGCUGGUAUGAAAAAAAUAUUGUUUAUCCCAGCGUCAGCUAUUUAUUUUAUAUUUUAAGAGAUUGCAACCCUUAGGAACUACACUUCUGUGCUUAUCCUCUCAGAAGCACACAUCUGAAUGAAAACAGGAUGGAAUCAACCAAAUUGUAGGAAAGAAGAGCCAGAUUUUCCUUUGAUUUAAAACAGUUUUUAGUGAUCUAUAUUGAUAUAUAGCAGAUUAUGGUUUGACUUGUGCACUUCUAAAAAAGAAAAUCAAUGUUCUCAGUCUCUGGUUCCACUCUGUGGUGAUAUAGCGGUAUCUGAGGACCUUUAUUAUAAGUUGCUUGUAAUUGCCUUUGAUAACAAUUAAUACAUAAAAUAAAAAUG
rnacentral:lncRNA from 1 species